GAUGAACGCUGGCGGCGUGCCUAAUACAUGCAAGUCGAGCGAACGGACGAGAAGCUUGCUUCUCUGAUGUUAGCGGCGGACGGGUGAGUAACACGUGGAUAACCUACCUAUAAGACUGGGAUAACUUCGGGAAACCGGAGCUAAUACCGGAUAAUAUUUUGAACCGCAUGGUUCAAAAGUGAAAGACGGUCUUGCUGUCACUUAUAGAUGGAUCCGCGCUGCAUUAGCUAGUUGGUAAGGUAACGGCUUACCAAGGCAACGAUGCAUAGCCGACCUGAGAGGGGGCACGGCCAAACUGGAACUGAGACACGGUCCACACCCCUACGGGGGGCAGGAGUAGGGAAUUUGCCGCAAGGGGCGAAAGCCUGCCGGAGCAACGCCGGGGGAGUGAAGAAGGUCUUCGGACCGUAAAACUUUUUUAUUAGGGAAGAACAUAUGUGUAAGUAACUGUGCACAUCUUGACGGUACCUAAACAGAAAGCCACGGCUAACUACGU
rnacentral:rRNA from 1 species